rnacentral:rRNA from 1 species
UACGUAGGGUGCAAGCGUUAAUCGGAAUUACUGGGCGUAAAGCGUGCGCAGGCGGUUUUGUAAGUCUGUCGUGAAAUCCCCGGGCUCAACCUGGGAAUUGCGAUGGAGACUGCAAGGCUAGAAUCUGGCAGAGGGGGGUAGAAUUCCACGUGUGAGCAGUGAAAAUGCGUAGAUAUGCGGAGGAACACCGAUGGCGAAGGCAAUCCCCUGGACCUGUACUGACGCUCAUGCACGAAAGCGUGGGGAGCAAACAGG